rnacentral:rRNA from 1 species
AGGUAGCGAAAUUCCUUGUCGGGUAAGUUCCGACCUGCACGAAUGGCGUAACGACAGCGGCGCUGUCUCCACCCGAGACUCAGUGAAAUUGAAAUCGCUGUGAAGAUGCAGUGUAUCCGCGGCUAGACGGAAAGACCCCGUGAACCUUUACUAUAGCUUUGCACUGGACUUUGAAUUUGCUUGUGUAGGAUAGGUGGGAGGCUUUGAAGCGUGGACGCCAGUUCGCGUGGAGCCAUCCUUGAAAUACCACCCUGGCAACUUUGAGGUUCUAACUCAGGUCCGUUAUCCGGAUCGAGGACAGUGUAUGGUGGGUAGUUUGACUGGGGCGGUCUCCUCCUAAAGAGUAACGGAGGAGUACGAAGGUGCGCUCAGACCGGUCGGAAAUCGGUCGUAGAGUAUAAAGGCAAAAGCGCGCUUGACUGCGAGACAGACACGUCGAGCAGGUACGAAAGUAGGUCUUAGUGAUCCGGUGGUUCUGUAUGGAAGGGCCAUCGCUCAACGGAUAAAAGGUACUCCGGGGAUAACAGGCUGAUA